CCAACCUUGCUGGUGAUCCUCUGGGCUACUUGAUAUCCCUUCAGAAUUUCAUUUAUGUUUAAGUUAGCCAGAGUUGCUUUCUGUUGUGUCUAACUGGUGAUGUUGACUAGUCACAUAGUACCCAGCAUGUUCUCUCUAAAUGGUGGUUCCCAGACAUUCAAGACUUCCUGUCUCAGGUCCAGGCUCAGAAGACACAAACAAACAAGAAACUACGUUUGGUUGUUCCAGCAUAAAACCUUGGGUUUGCAUUGGACAAGAUUGGCUUACUUUGGGUAAUAUAUGAUGCUUGAAUUGGCCAGACCUAGUUCAUGAGCCUGAAGUUGUGUUAGAGUUCAGCCCUACUGCAACUACUAGUGGUUAGGAUCACAGGCACUGCAUGCAGUCUACCUGGAUUUGUAAAUCUCAGUUCUGCCAUUUAAGAGCAAAUUACAUAUUUAUUUGUAAGUUAUCUGAGACAUCUCUCAAAUGGGAAUAAUAAUAGUACCUGUACCAAAGAGUUGGUAUGAGGAUUAAAUGAGUUAAUUAUGCAAAAUGCUCAGAUCAGUGCCUGCCAUGUGGUUAGAGCUUAAUGUAUGUUAGUUACCAUUCUUAGCUAUUACUGCAUGGACUGAGAAUAGUGAAGAGAUGGUUUCCAAAGGAAAUUCAGGGGGCUGUUACCAGAAGACGGUACGAAUGAAUGCUCGAAAGGCAAGAACAACAAAUGUCCACUACACUUCAUCCCCAAGUUCUAACAACCAACUACUGGAGGUGGGCAGCCAAUAAGCUCUUGCAUGAAGCCAGCUGGGAUUCACAGCUGCCUGUUGGUGUCAAUCUUAUCCCCCAAGGUGAAGUUCCAAAGCACAGUCAUGACCACCUGAUCAACACCCCAGGAGGGCUGAAUGUCUCUCUGGCAAUCAGCCCUCAUUUUUCUAGGCUUCACCUUUGUGGCAGUCUUAGAAAAUCCAUGGCUUGGCCAGCCUGAGUGCACAUUAAACCAUUUCAAAAUGUUGGAAGAGGAAGUCUGCAUGCUUAAUGUGUAAUUUAGCUGAAAGAACUGGAACAACUUUCAUUUUGGUAUGUUCCUCA
rnacentral:lncRNA from 1 species